rnacentral:rRNA from 1 species
CUUGACUGUAUCCUGGAAUUGGGUUCGGGCUUUUCUUGCGCAGCCUAGGUGGGAGGCUAUGAAGAUUUCCUUCCGGGGAAGUUGGAGCCAUCAGUGAGAGACCACUCUGGAGAGGCUAGAAUCCUAAUGGUGAUCCUUGAAUCAGGACACUUGACAGUUUCAGGUGGGCAGUUUUUCUGGGGCGGAAGCCUCAUAAAAGGUAACUGAGGCGCGCAAAGGUCCCCUCAGUCUGGACGGAAAUCAGACAUUGAGUGUAAAGGCAAAAGGGGGCUUGACUGCAAGACCCACAAGUCGAGCAGGAGCGAAAGCUGGCCUUAGUGAUCCGACGGUUCCGUGUGGAAGGGCCGUCGCUCAACGAAUAAAAGUUA